UACAGAGGGGGCAAGCGUUGUUCGGAAUUACUGGGCGUAAAGGGCGCGUAGGCGGCGUGUCAAGUCAGGCGUGAAAGCCCCGGGCUCAACCUGGGAACCGCGCUUGAGACUGGCAUGCUCGAGUUCGGGAGAGGAUGGUGGAAUUCCCAGUGUAGAGGUGGAAUGCGUAGAUAUCGGGAGGAACACCAGUGGCGAAGGCGGCUUCCUGGACCGGUUCUGACACUGAGGAGCGAAAGCGUGGGGAGCGAUCCGG
rnacentral:rRNA from 1 species